AACCAUUCUCACCUGCGGCUAGACCUGCGGAAGGAUCAUUACCGAGUUCUGGGUUCUCUCUCGAGGCCCGACCUCCCAACCCUUGUGUUUUAAAAACUACCACGUUGCUUCGGCGGGCCCGUCCUCCCAGGACCGCCGGACGCCCUCACCGGUGUCUGGCCCGUUGCCCGUCGAUGGCCCACAAACCAAAACUCUUGUUUAAACCUGUCGUCUAAGUCACAAAAUUUAAUUAAAAUAAAA
rnacentral:misc_RNA from 1 species